UAACGCGUAAGAAAUCUACCUAUUAGAGGGGAACAACAAUGAGAAAUCAUUGCUAAUACCGCAUAUGCCAUAAACAUCGCAUGAUGAAAGUGGGAAAGGAGCAAUCCGCUGAUAGAUGAUCUUGCGUCUGAUUAGUUAGUUGGUGGGGUAAUGGCCUACCAAGACGACGAUCAGUAGCCGGACUGAGAGGUUGAACGGCCACAUUGGGACUGAGAUACGGCCCAGACUCCUACGGGAGGCAGCAGUCGGGAAUAUUGCGCAAUGGAGGAAACUCUGACGCAGUGACGCCGCGUGCAGGAAGAAGGUUUUCGGAUUGUAAACUGCUUUAGACAGGGAAGAGAAAGGACAGUACCUGUAGAAUAAGCUCCGGCUAACUACGUGCCAGCAGCCGCGGUAAUACGUAGGGAGCGAGCGUUAUCCGGAUUUAUUGGGUGUAAAGGGUGCGUAGACGGGAAUACAAGUUAGUUGUGAAAUACCUCGGCUUAACUGAGGAACUGCAACUAAAACUAUAUUUCUUGAGUGCAGGAGAGGUAAGUGGAAUUCCUAGUGUAGCGGUGAAAUGCGUAGAUAUUAGGAGGAACACCAGUGGCGAAGGCGACUUACUGGACUGAAACUGACGUUGAGGCACGAAAGUGUGGGGAGCAAACAGGAUUAGAUACCCUGGUAGUCCACACCGUAAACGAUGGAUACUAGGUGU
rnacentral:rRNA from 1 species